rnacentral:rRNA from 2 species
GGGUUGUGAGGUUAAGCGACUAAGCGUACACGGUGGAUGCCCUGGCAGUCAGAGGCGAUGAAGGGCGUGCUAAUCUGCGAUAAGCGCCGGUAAGGUGAUAUGAACCGUUAUAACCGGCGAUACCCGAAUGGGGAAACCCAGUGUGAUUCGUCACACUAUCAUUAACUGAAUCCAUAGGUUAAUGAGGCGAACCGGGGGAACUGAAACAUCUAAGUACCCCGAGGAAAAGAAAUCAACCGAGAUUCCCCCAGUAGCGGCGAGCGAACGGGGAGGAGCCCAGAGCCUGAAUCAGCAUGUGUGUUAGUGGAAGCGUCUGGAAAGGCGCGCGAUACAGGGUGACAGCCCCGUACACAAAAGCGCAUGUGCUGUGAGCUCGAUGAGUAGGGCGGGACACGUGGUAUCCUGUCUGAAUAUGGGGGGACCAUCCUCCAAGGCUAAAUACUCCUGACUGACCGAUAGUGAACCAGUACCGUGAGGGAAAGGCGAAAAGAACCCCGGCGAGGGGAGUGAAAAAGAACCUGAAACCGUGUACGUACAAGCAGUGGGAGCCCCACCACCAAAGCAUUCUCUGGUGUUGAAGGCCCUGCAAAGCAGCAUCGCGGUGGCGGAGCGUCGUUUGCGACGCCCAACACACAAAACAAGCGGUGAAUGCUUUGGGGUGGGGUGACUGCGUACCUUUUGUAUAAUGGGUCAGCGACUUAUAUUCUGUAGCAAGGUUAACCGAAUAGGGGAGCCGGAGGGAAACCGAGUCUUAAUUGGGCGUUAAGUUGCAGGGUAUAGACCCGAAACCCGGUGAUCUAGCCAUGGGCAGGUUGAAGGUUGGGUAACACUAACUGGAGGACCGAACCGACUAAUGUUGAAAAAUUAGCGGAUGACCUGUGGCUGGGGGUGAAAGGCCAAUCAAACCGGGAGAUAGCUGGUUCUCCCCGAAAGCUAUUUAGGUAGCGCCUCGUGAAUUCAUCUCCGGGGGUAGAGCACUGUUUCGGCUAGGGGGCCAUCCCGGCUUACCAACCCGAUGCAAACUGCGAAUACCGGAGAAUGUUAUCACGGGAGACACACGGCGGGUGCUAACGUCCGUCGUGAAGAGGGAAACAACCCAGACCGCCAGCUAAGGUCCCAAAGUCAUGGUUAAGUGGGAAACGAUGUGGGAAGGCCCAGACAGCCAGGAUGUUGGCUUAGAAGCAGCCAUCAUUUAAAGAAAGCGUAAUAGCUCACUGGUCGAGUCGGCCUGCGCGGAAGAUGUAACGGGGCUAAACCAUGCACCGAAGCUGCGGCAGCGAACGUAUCACCCAAGACAACUUUACGGAGUUGACGAUUGACGGAGCGAAGCGACGUCAAAGCGUUCAUUAAAGUCGAGUUGGCUUAGGGAUACGUUCGUUGGGUAGGGGAGCGUUCUGUAAGCCUGUGAAGGUGUGUCGUGAGGCAUGCUGGAGGUAUCAGAAGUGCGAAUGCUGACAUAAGUAACGAUAAAGCGGGUGAAAAGCCCGCUCGCCGGAAGACCAAGGGUUCCUGUCCAACGUUAAUCGGGGCAGGGUGAGUCGACCCCUAAGGCGAGGCCGAAAGGCGUAGUCGAUGGGAAACGGGUUAAUAUUCCCGUACUUGGUGUUACUGCGAAGGGGGGACGGAGAAGGCUAUGUUGGCCGGGCGACGGUUGUCCCGGUUUAAGCGUGUAGGUGUGUGUUCCAGGUAAAUCCGGUUCACUUUAACACUGAGGCGUGACGACGAGGCACUACGGUGCUGAAGCAACAAAUGCCCUGCUUCCAGGAAAAGCCUCUAAGCAUCAGGUAACACGAAAUCGUACCCCAAACCGACACAGGUGGUCAGGUAGAGAAUACCAAGGCGCUUGAGAGAACUCGGGUGAAGGAACUAGGCAAAAUGGUGCCGUAACUUCGGGAGAAGGCACGCUGACACGUAGGUGAAGUGAUUUACUCAUGGAGCUGAAGUCAGUCGAAGAUACCAGCUGGCUGCAACUGUUUAUUAAAAACACAGCACUGUGCAAACACGAAAGUGGACGUAUACGGUGUGACGCCUGCCCGGUGCCGGAAGGUUAAUUGAUGGGGUCAGCGUAAGCGAAGCUCCUGAUCGAAGCCCCGGUAAACGGCGGCCGUAACUAUAACGGUCCUAAGGUAGCGAAAUUCCUUGUCGGGUAAGUUCCGACCUGCACGAAUGGCGUAAUGAUGGCCAGGCUGUCUCCACCCGAGACUCAGUGAAAUUGAACUCGCUGUGAAGAUGCAGUGUACCCGCGGCAAGACGGAAAGACCCCGUGAACCUUUACUAUAGCUUGACACUGAACAUUGAGCCUUGAUGUGUAGGAUAGGUGGGAGGCUUUGAAGUGUGGACGCCAGUCUGCAUGGAGCCGACCUUGAAAUACCACCCUUUAAUGUUUGAUGUUCUAACGUGGACCCGUUACCCGGGUUGCGGACAGUGUCUGGUGGGUAGUUUGACUGGGGCGGUCUCCUCCUAAAGAGUAACGGAGGAGCACGAAGGUUGGCUAAUCCUGGUCGGACAUCAGGAGGUUAGUGCAAUGGCAUAAGCCAGCUUGACUGCGAGCGUGACGGCGCGAGCAGGUGCGAAAGCAGGUCAUAGUGAUCCGGUGGUUCUGAAUGGAAGGGCCAUCGCUCAACGGAUAAAAGGUACUCCGGGGAUAACAGGCUGAUACCGCCCAAGAGUUCAUAUCGACGGCGGUGUUUGGCACCUCGAUGUCGGCUCAUCACAUCCUGGGGCUGAAGUAGGUCCCAAGGGUAUGGCUGUUCGCCAUUUAAAGUGGUACGCGAGCUGGGUUUAGAACGUCGUGAGACAGUUCGGUCCCUAUCUGCCGUGGGCGCUGGAGAACUGAGGGGGGCUGCUCCUAGUACGAGAGGACCGGAGUGGACGCAUCACUGGUGUUCGGGUUGUCAUGCCAAUGGCACUGCCCGGUAGCUAAAUGCGGAAGAGAUAAGUGCUGAAAGCAUCUAAGCACGAAACUUGCCCCGAGAUGAGUUCUCCCUGAGACUUAGAGUCUCCUGAAGGAACGUUGAAGACGACGACGUUGAUAGGCCGGGUGUGUAAGCGCAGCGAUGCGUUGAGCUAACCGGUACUAAUGAACCGUGAGGCUUAACCUUACAACGCCGAAG